GUGGUGUAGGGGUAAAAUCCGUAGAUAUCACCAAGAAUACCCAUUGCGAAGGCGAUCUGCUGGAACUCAACUGACGCUAAGGCGCGAAAGCGUGGGGAGCAAACAGGAUUAGAUACCCUGGUAGUCCACGCCCUAAACGAUGUACACUAGUUGUUGGGGUGCUAGUCAUCUCAGUAAUGCAGCUAACGCAUUAAGUGUACCGCCUGGGGAGUACGGUCGCAAGAUUAAAACUCAAAGGAAUAGACGGGGACCCGCACAAGCGGUGGAGCAUGUGGUUUAAUUCGAAGAUACGCGAAGAACCUUACCUGGGCUUGAUAUCCUAAGAACCUUUUAGAGAUAAGAGGGUGCUAGCUUGCUAGAACUUAGAGACAGGUGCUGCACGGCUGUCGUCAGCUCGUGUCGUGAGAUGUUGGGUUAAGUCCCGCAACGAGCGCAACCCACGUAUUUAGUUGCUAACGGUUCGGCCGAGCACUCUAAAUAGACUGCCUUCGUAAGGAGGAGGAAGGUGUGGACGACGUCAAGUCAUCAUGGCCCUUAUGCCCAGGGCGACACACGUGCUACAAUGGCAUAUACAAUGAGACGCAAUACCGCGAGGUGGAGCAAAUCUAUAAAAUAUGUCCCAGUUCGGAUUGUUCUCUGCAACUCGAGAGCAUGAAGCCGGAAUCGCUAGUAAUCGUAGAUCAGCCAUGCUACGGUGAAUACGUUCCCGGGUCUUGUACUCACCGCCCGUCACACCAUGGGAGUUGAUUUCACUCGAAGCCGGAAUACUAAACUAGUUACCGUCCACAGUGGAAUCAGCGACUGGGGUGAAGUCGUAACAAGGUAACCGUAGGAGAACCUGCGGUUGGAUCACCUCCUUUCUA
rnacentral:rRNA from 1 species